CUGAGUACGACGGAGCACGUGAAAUUCCGUCGGAAUCUGGGAGGACCAUCUCCUAAGGCUAAAUACUCUCUAGUGACCGAUAGUGAACCAGUACCGUGAGGGAAAGGUGAAAAGCACCCCGGAAGGGGAGUGAAAUAGAACCUGAAACCGUGUGCUUACAAGUAGUCAGAGCCCGUUAAUGGGUGAUGGCGUGCCUUUUGUAGAAUGAACCGGCGAGUUACGAUUUGAUGCAAGGUUAAGCAGUAAAUGUGGAGCCGUAGCGAAAGCGAGUCUGAAUAGGGCGUUUAGUAUUUGGUCGUAGACCCGAAACCAGGUGAUCUACCCUUGGUCAGGUUGAAGUUCAGGUAACACUGAAUGGAGGACCGAACCGACUUACGUUGAAAAGUGAGCGGAUGAACUGAGGGUAGCGGAGAAAUUCCAAUCGAACCUGGAGAUAGCUGGUUCUCUCCGAAAUAGCUUUAGGGCUAGCCUCAAGUGAUGAUUAUUGGAGGUAGAGCACUGUUUGGACGAGGGGCCCCUCUCGGGUUACCGAAUUCAGACAAACUCCGAAUGCCAAUUAAUUUAACUUGGGAGUCAGAACAUGGGUGAUAAGGUCCGUGUUCGAAAGGGAAACAGCCCAGACCACCAGCUAAGGUCCCAAAAUAUAUGUUAAGUGGAAAAGGAUGUGGCGUUGCCCAGACAACUAGGAUGUUGGCUUAGAAGCAGCCAUCAUUUAAAGAGUGCGUAAUAGCUCACUAGUCGAGUGACACUGCGCCGAAAAUGUACCGGGGCUAAACAUAUUACCGAAGCUGUGGAUUGUCCUUUGGACAAUGGUAGGAGAGCGUUCUAAGGGCGUUGAAGCAUGAUCGUAAGGACAUGUGGAGCGCUUAGAAGUGAGAAUGCCGGUGUGAGUAGCGAAAGACGGGUGAGAAUCCCGUCCACCGAUUGACUAAGGUUUCCAGAGGAAGGCUCGUCCGCUCUGGGUUAGUCGGGUCCUAAGCUGAGGCCGACAGGCGUAGGCGAUGGAUAACAGGUUGAUAUUCCUGUACCACCUAUAAUCGUUUUAAUCGAUGGGGGGACGCAGUAGGAUAGGCGAAGCGUGCGAUUGGAUUGCACGUCUAAGCAGUAAGGCUGAGUAUUAGGCAAAUCCGGUACUCGUUAAGGCUGAGCUGUGAUGGGGAGAAGACAUUGUGUCUUCGAGUCGUUGAUUUCACACUGCCGAGAAAAGCCUCUAGAUAGAAAAUAGGUGCCCGUACCGCAAACCGACACAGGUAGUCAAGAUGAGAAUUCUAAGGUGAGCGAGCGAACUCUCGUUAAGGAACUCGGCAAAAUGACCCCGUAACUUCGGGAGAAGGGGUGCUCUUUAGGGUUAACGCCCAGAAGAGCCGCAGUGAAUAGGCCCAAGCGACUGUUUAUCAAAAACACAGGUCUCUGCUAAACCGUAAGGUGAUGUAUAGGGGCUGACGCCUGCCCGGUGCUGGAAGGUUAAGAGGAGUGGUUAGCUUCUGCGAAGCUACGAAUCGAAGCCCCAGUAAACGGCGGCCGUAACUAUAACGGUCCUAAGGUAGCGAAAUUCCUUGUCGGGUAAGUUCCGACCCGCACGAAAGGCGUAACGAUUUGGGCACUGUCUCAACGAGAGACUCGGUGAAAUCAUAGUACCUGUGAAGAUGCAGGUUACCCGCGACAGGACGGAAAGACCCCGUGGAGCUUUACUGUAGCCUGAUAUUGAAAUUCGGCACAGCUUGUACAGGAUAGGUAGGAGCCUUUGAAACGUGAGCGCUAGCUUACGUGGAGGCGCUGGUGGGAUACUACCCUA
rnacentral:rRNA from 1 species